UCCGUUUAUUCUCUACUAGCCAAUGGAGGAUGGCACAUAGCAGCGCAGAUCGUAAUGACUGCCCACGAGAAGACAUAAAUCAGGAAGUAUGCGGAGCGGUGUGGGCAUGUAGAAACACAUUAAGCUACAAGCGUGCUAUAUUUUUCUUUCUGGACUAGGCAUACGCUAGCUUGGAGAUCUACACACGUGGAAGGCUGAGGUUAUUUCACCGUGCCUCUUAAAGGUUUAGGUGUAGGAUUCAAUUUGCAACUGCAGAAUUUCUACGAUUCAAGCUUCUGAGGUAUGGCAUGCACAUCUGCUAUUAUCGAAAAGGUCCAACCAUGGAGCUACCAGUACAUGUGAUGCUUGCUCCCUUACAAAUGAACAUGCGCUUCUACAAAUUGGACUAUGUAGUGGCUGAGUCAAAUUGCUGCUGAUGCCUGCAGGCUGAAGAGAUCUCUACUCCUUUUGUUCCUGCUAAAAAGGCUACC